rnacentral:rRNA from 1 species
UACGUAGGACACGAGCGUUAUCCGGAUUUACUGGGCGUAAAGCGCCUGUAGGCGGUUUUGUAAGUCGGAUGUGAAAGCCCCAGGCUUAACCUGGGGAGGCCAUUCGAUACUGCGGGACUUGAGGAUAGCAGAGGGGAGUGGAAUUCCCGGUGUAGCGGUAAAAUGCGCAGAUAUCGGGAGGAACACCAGUGGCGAAGGCGGCUCCCUGGGCUACUCCUGACGCUGAGAGGCGAAAGCUAGGGGAGCGAACAGG